UGAGCAGGAGGGGAAGGCAGCGGCCCGAAAUCCAGCGGGAGCCAAGAGGCAGCCGAAGGGCGUAGACUCGUGCCGGGCUCUCCAAUCAGCCCCGGGAGGUUUGGCUCGGGCCGGAUAAAUGCGGGCCGGGCUGGGUGGGAACGCGGCGAGCCCCGGGAGAAGGGGAUGAGCUCCGGGGCGCGGCCGGGACGGCGGCAGAGCUCGGCCAGCACCCCCCCGGCAGCGAUGAGCGGCACCCCCGGGGCAGCCCCGCAGCCCCGGCCCGUCCCCUCCCGGCCCCGCACGUCCUUCCUCAUCCAGGACAUCCUCUGGGAUGGGGCCGAGCGCGGCAGGAGCGCAGGGAAUGAGGAGCUGGGAGAGCCCAGCGAGGAGGGGAGAGGGGACAGCCCGGCCCCGGGACACCCCCCCGGGGGUCCCCAUCCCCCGGGAGCGGCCGCAGCCUCGGGGACACCCCAGGAACCGGACACAGACACCCCGGUGGAGCCUUUCCUGUCCGACUGUGCCCCCGCCGUGCAUCCCAUGGCUCCGCGGCCUCCCAGGCAGGGAAAACGUUCCCGAGCCGCCUUCUCCCACAGCCAGGUGAUCGAGCUGGAGCGGAAGUUCAGCCACCAGAAAUACCUGUCCGCCCCGGAGAGAGCGACCUUGGCCCGGCACCUGCAGCUCACCGAGACCCAGGUGAAGAUCUGGUUCCAGAACAGGAGGUACAAGACCAAGAGGAAACAGCUGGUGGCCGGGAUGAGCCGCUUGGACUCGCGCCAGGAAGCGGCCGAAUUCCCGGGAAUGUCGCUGCUGGCGCUCAGGGGGGCCUGGCCCUACCUGCCCUGCCUCUACUACGUGAAUUCCUGGAGCCCCUCCUGGUAGAAAUGGCUUUUUUAGGUGGAAAAUAUCCGGUUUUUCCUUAAAUUCAGAGGGGAGCGAUUGGCAGCUCAAAGGUCUCUCAUCCCUUACACUGAAAUAACCAAAAGCAGCCCCAAAUUUUAGUUGCAGUGCUCUGGGAAUUCCCAGAAAAGCCUUGGCUGUUCCACCCCUGGAAGUUCCCAGAUCCAGGCUGGAUGGGGCUUGGAGCUGAGGGCACCCGGCACUCUUGAGUGGCUGGAGCCUCUCCUGGUAGAAAUGGCUUUUUCAGGUGGAAAAUAUCCGGUUUUUCCUUAAAUUCAGAGGGGAGCGAUUGGCAGCUCAAAGGUCUCUCAUCCCUUACACUGAAAUAACCAAAACCAGCCCCAAAAUUUAACAGCAUUUAAUUCACUGUGUUUGAUUCCAAAGCUCUGGGAAUUCCCAGGGAACCUGUGGCUGCUCCAUCCCUGGAAGUUCCCAGAUCCAGGCUGGAUGGGGUUUGGAGCUGGGGGCACCUGGCUGUACCUGCCCUGCCUCUACUGCGUGAAUUCCUGGAGCCCCUCCUGGUAGGAACGGCUUUUUUAGGUGGAAAAUACCCUUUAUCUUGGAUAUUAAGGAAUAUUUCCCGAAAUAUUUCCUGGCUAUUUCCUUAAAUUCAGAGCGGGGGGUGGGGGUCACCGGCAGCGUUUUGUAGCGGGAACACGAAAUUCCCUCACCGCAAACACGGGGGAAAAAACCCAAAGGAAAAGCCCCAGAUGUUAACAGCAUUUAAUCCACCGUGUUCCAUUCCAGAGCUCUGGGAAUUCCCGGGGAAUCUGUGGCCGCCCCAUCCCUGGAAGUGCCCAAAUCCAGGUCGCCACCCGGAGGUGCCCUGGAUGCCACCCUGGCAGGGACAAUGGGGCAAUGACAGACGGGUUUUGCAUAUCCGGGUGUCGGCCCUGCUGCAGCGCUCCGGGGUUUUAAAGGAGCAGCAGCUCCAAGGCUCCACUUCCAGAGCAGCAAACCCCGUUUGCAGCUGGAAUCUGGGAGUUGGAGCCGCCUUUUCCCGAGCCGAAUCAUCCCAGAAUUCCGUGAAUCAGCCCAAUUCCCGGCGCUGGGUCACCAGAACAGCAAGAGGAUGAUGCCAGCUUGUCGUUUUUAGGGAAAAAAACUCCCGUUUGCACUUCCAGAAUAGAAAAAAUUGAAUUUUUUAAAAAAAUUUAUACUUAAAGUGUCAUCAAUUCCAUGGGGAAAGUGUGGGAAUAAGGGAGAUUUCCAAGGGAAGAAAUGCAUUUUCUCAGCCGGAGUAACCUGGAGCAGAUUUAAUCUCCUGGAACUCAAAUCUUCCCUGGGAAGCUCCAGGAACGUUCCUCUGGUUCCUGCUCUUCCCAUUAAAAUCCCAGUGCUGCCAUUCCCUCCUGGAUUAGGGAAACGCAGACAAUAAAUCAUGGGAAGGAGCUGCCUGGAUUCGCCCCUUUUCCACAGCAUUAUUCGGGACCCGCCCUUUUGCCGGGGGACUCCUGCGAGCUCCCAGGCAGAGAGGCAAAAAUUCCAGGGGCAAAAUUCCAGGGAAGGGAGGACAGGGAGAGGAGGACACAGAAGGGGAGCUCUUUGCAGGAAUUAUUAAUUUCUCUCUUUGCUAUCAAAGAUUCUCCCUUAAUUUGGAGGCCGAGCUUUGGAAUUGUCUCAAAGUAACUUUCGCUAUCUCCAGCUCCGUUUCCCUCCCAGCUCCUUCUCCCAGGGCCGGGAAUUCCAGCCCGGAUUCCAGCAUGGAAGGCCAUCUCCUCUCCGCUGUUGCAAAGUGUUUCCAUCCCUGCCCUGCCCUUAUCCACUCGGGAACAACAAAAAUCCCUUUAUUGACCUCAAAGCCGAGUUCCAGCCGGGAGUGACCCCCCCGCCCCGAGGGCACCUCCUGCCCACAUCCCAUGGAUUUCUCUGCCAGAGCCUUGGGAUGCUGCUGGAAUCCUGGCAGAGACAGCGAAUGUGCGCUAAAACCGCUGGGAAAGGGCUCGGAGCAUCCCGGUUUGCACGGACAGGGGGGGAAUGUUCCACUGGGAAGGGCUGGGAAAAUGAGAUCUGAACUGGAAAUUAACUCUGAACUGGAAAUGGGAUUUAAGCUGUAAAUCAGAUCUAAACUGGAAAUGAAAUCUAAAUUUAAAAUCAGAUCUAAACUGGAAAUUAAAUCUAAAGUGAAAAUGAGAUUUAAACUGGGAACUAAAUCUAAACUGGAAA